CCGUUCCAUUCUAUUCCUACCUAUUUUCUAUCCUCCAAUCAAUCUGUGCAUUUAGUGUGUUCAGUGUCUCAAAGGUCAAGUGUCUAGCUAGUCAGGUAUUUUCUGUGUAUUGUGUCUAGUGCCGCUAUCUAAUUUUAUAGGACAGGCAAGCACAAAUACCUCUAACAAAAUAACCUAUAAUCGCAUUUGGCUGACACAAUCUAUUAUUUUUGCACAGUAACUUAUCUUUAAAUUUAAAUAACUUGUCAUUAUUUACAUAAAUUCAAGUCAAAAGUCGACAUUUCUCAAGUAAAGCACUAUUCUAACAAUUUAAUUGCAAUCCCAACUAUUUUAACCUGUAAAACACUUAAAAAUAUAACCUCACAACUUUGAUCUCACUUAUUACAAUCUAUUAGUUCCCACAUACGACCUUGCUAGUAUCAGUUUACUUAGGCAUACGAAAUAAACGCAUUCCAGUGAUCCCGGUCACGCGUCAUCGCCUGCGCAUCGCGGUUUCCUGACUGCGAGCGACACUGCGAGCCUGCGACGCCGGCCGGCCCCACUUGCACCCCACGUCACUGCACGCAGCCUACGCGUGGCAGAGCAUCAGCUGAUCAACAAAGCGAGGAGCGUAUCCGACUGGAGCAAGCCCGUCAAGACUUCUGGAAGAGGUGGUCAAUGGAGUACGUGGCCGAGCUGCAGCAGCGCACGAAAUGGAAGGUGCGAUGCAGAGACCUCAAGGUUGAUGACCUAGUCCUGAUUAAGGACGAGAGCGCACCGCCGCUAUGCUGGCGCCUUGGACGAAUAUCCAGACUCUUCCCCGGCUCUGAUGGAGUGCCGCGAGUCGCAGACGUCUCUACAUCCCAAGGCAUCGUUCGAAGGGCCAUGAACCGCCUAUGUCUACUGCCGUCGCCGAAUGAAGACAGCGAAGAACUCCUGAAAGCUACCUAGCUUUCAAGCCCCGGAGGAUGUCUAUGACAGACAGCUUCACAUCACUAUCGUUCAAUCUCAUUCGGUCCGCGCGCGCGUUCACUCUCCCAUUCACUGUAUCCCUCUCUCGCCUAUCAGCCACCGAACCGGCUUGACGUGCCGGCCGGCACGUUAACUCACAAAUUAUUUCAAUGUAAUAUUGUCCAAAGUACAAUAAAUUCUCAAACUCAAGAA